rnacentral:rRNA from 1 species
GGUUAAGCGACUAAGCGUACACGGUGGAUGCCCUGGCAGUCAGAGGCGAUGAAGGACGUGCUAAUCUGCGAUAAGCGUCGGUGAGGUGAUAUGAACCGUUAUAACCGGCGAUUUCCGAAUGGGGAAACCCAGUGUGUUUCGACACACUAUCAUUAACUGAAUCCAUAGGUUAAUGAGGCGAACCGGGGGAACUGAAACAUCUAAGUACCCCGAGGAAAAGAAAUCAACCGAGAUUCCCCCAGUAGCGGCGAGCGAACGGGGAGGAGCCCAGAGCCUGAAUCAGUGUGUGUGUUAGUGGAAGCGUCUGGAAAGGCGCGCGAUACAGGGUGACAGCCCCGUACACAAAAAUGCACAUAUUGUGAGCUCGAUGAGUAGGGCGGGACACGUGGUAUCCUGUCUGAAUAUGGGGGGACCAUCCUCCAAGGCUAAAUACUCCUGACUGACCGAUAGUGAACCAGUACCGUGAGGGAAAGGCGAAAAGAACCCCGGCGAGGGGAGUGAAAAAGAACCUGAAACCGUGUACGUACAAGCAGUGGGAGCCUCUUAAUGGGGUGACUGCGUACCUUUUGUAUAAUGGGUCAGCGACUUAUAUUCUGUAGCAAGGUUAACCGAAUAGGGGAGCCGAAGGGAAACCGAGUCUUAACUGGGCGUUAAGUUGCAGGGUAUAGACCCGAAACCCGGUGAUCUAGCCAUGGGCAGGUUGAAGGUUGGGUAACACUAACUGGAGGACCGAACCGACUAAUGUUGAAAAAUUAGCGGAUGACUUGUGGCUGGGGGUGAAAGGCCAAUCAAACCGGGAGAUAGCUGGUUCUCCCCGAAAGCUAUUUAGGUAGCGCCUCGUGAAUUCAUCUCCGGGGGU